CAUCCUGAAGACGGGGAAACAGUAGUGUCUCACAGCGAGGGGGACAGAAAGCAGCACACAGAGUGUCAGGUGUCAUGAUAUUGUCUCACUACUUUGCGGCGACUGUAUGUGUUAAUACAUUGACUAGACGCUGACCGACAACAUUUAUAUUUAAAUGUAGGCUAUUGAUUACAAUUUUGCUAGAGACAAUUCAGAAGUUGGGGACAAGCCCUGAAGCUGUGAGCAUUGCGCGCUCUAUCUGUCCUCCCGUGCUUACUCGCAGGCAGGCUGAGUAACGGCGGGGGGGUCACGUUACGUGAACUUCAAACAAAAUGUAGCAAUAUUAUUGCGACUAGCCUCCGCCUUUCCCUUAGCUCUUAUCCGCUGCAUAUUAACAUGGAAUUUCUUUUGUUGCUGUUGUUGAGUUACAUUCGGGGCUACAGUCAAAACAUCCGGGGCUAAAGCCUCGGAAAAAUGACCUGGCGACGCCGUUGGACUGUAUUGGUGAGGGGCAUCACCGAUUUUGGUGGGUACAGGGAGCAUUAUCCAUCGCUGGAGGAACCCAUUGCAAUGUGAAAGGAGUACCCUCACAAGAAAGAUGAACUCACAAAAGUCUUAAAUGGCUUAGAAUACUGUAGUAACAGGUUUUGAAGAUGGAGGUUCUACAGACCCAGAGAACUGCUACAAGACAAACAAGUGGGAAGGGGAAGGGAGAGGAGCAGGAAGAUGGUUGUGUGCCUGUCUCUCUCUGACUGAAUUCUUCAAAAAAAAAAAAAAAAAGUAUUUCCUACGCACUAUAUUCCAGGACAGAGUGGAGACCUGGAUUGUACAUGACUGCUAAAAGGUAGCAGAGUGAGUUAAAGCAAACCAACAUGUUUUUUCAGCGAGGGUGCACCGAAGAUGGGGGAAGACAUGCACAGGCUGCCCAGCUGUAUGGAAAGCUGUGAGUGAGGGCCUGUACAAGAGGGAAUCCGUCUUGGAGCUAUUCACAUUUAUAUUUUAGAACAUUGAAGACGUGGACGUUUUGGGAAGAAAUUACAGAUAGCCAAGGAUUUGAGGCAUACUGUGAAUGUCAAGUGGUAAGCAACGAAUGACUUUGAAUACAAGUAUUAGUGCACUACUAUUGUUGUGAUAUGCUAUUUUUGCUUAAUAAAAGGCAACAGAAUGUGUGACAA